rnacentral:rRNA from 1 species
GAUGAACGCUGGCGGCGUGCCUAAUACAUGCAAGUCGAGCGAACAGACGAGGAGCUUGCUCCUCUGACGUUAGCGGCGGACGGGUGAGUAACACGUGGAUAACCUACCUAUAAGACUGGGAUAACUUCGGGAAACCGGAUCUAAUACCGGAUAAUAUAUUGAACCGCAUGGUUCAAUAGUGAAAGACGGUUUUGCUGUCACUUAUAGAUGGAUCCUCGCCGCAUUAGCUAGUUGGUAAGGUAACGGCUUACCAAGGCGACGAUGCGUAGCCGACCUGAGAGGGUGAUCGGCCACACUGGAACUGAGACACGGUCCAGACUCCUACGGGAGGCAGCAGUAGGGAAUCUUCCGCAAUGGGCGAAAGCCUGACGGAGCAACGCCGCGUGAGUGAUGAAGGUCUUCGGAUCGUAAAACUCUGUUAUUAGGGAAGAACAAAUGUGUAAGUAACUAUGCACGUCUUGACGGUACCUAAUCAGAAAGCCACGGCUAACUACGUG